rnacentral:tRNA from 1 species
UGCAUUGGCCGGGAAUCGAACCCGGGCCGCCCGCGUGGCAGGCCUGCAUUCUACCACUAAGCCACCGAUGC